AUUGAACGCUGGCGGUAUGCCUUGCACAUGCAAGUCGAACGGUAGAGGGGCAACCCUCGAGAGUGGCGAACGGGUGAGUAAUACAUAGGAAAGUGCCCGGUCGUGGGGGAUAACGUAGCGAAAGCUACGCUAAUACCGAAUACGACACGAGGGUGAAAGCGGGGGACCUGCAAGGGCCUCGCGCGAUUGGAGCGGCCGAUGGCAGAUUAGGUAGUUGGUGGGGUAAAGGCCCACCAAGCCUGCGAUCUGUAGCUGGUCUGAGAGGACGACCAGCCACACUGGGACUGAGACACGGCCCAGACUCCUACGGGAGGCGGCAGUGGGGAAUUUUGGACAAUGGGCGAAAGCCUGAUCCAGCCAUACCGCGUGCGGGAAGAAGGCCUUCGGGUUGUAAGCCGCUUUUGUCAGGGAAGAAAUCUUCCGGGUUAAUGCCUCGGGGGGAUGACGGUACCUGAAGAAUAAGCACCGGCUAACUACGUGCCAGCCGCCGCAGUAACAC
rnacentral:rRNA from 1 species